AUCUGAUUGCCGGCUGCCGGAACUGCGCGUCCGACACCCGGACCUUGAAGAUGUCGGGACUCUCCCUGCAGGGCGAGGACUUGUCCUCCUCCACAGACUCCACGAAUCCCGUGCUCUGCAGCCAGUUGGACUUCCUCUCCAGCUGGUGAGGAAAGGUCACACCUGUGCCCCGAUUUCGAAGUCAGCCUCUGCCAGCUUUAAAGUUGGAGCGUGUUGGGCAAGUUCCCAUCAGCUGCAGUUUCCAGGUCGUCCAGUGACAACAGCACUCACCUCCUGGAGGAUGGUGUGAGGAGCACGCUACAAAGGCUUGGCAUACAGAGUGUUAACGCUUUCCGCCGCUCCUAAAAGGAACCCGUGCUGCUUCGGGUCUCCACAACUCCAACCUGGAGCAGGGUGUGUUAGCAAGGAGCUGAAUUGGAAGUGGAGCAGUCCAUAUGGGGUGUCGGUGCAGCAGGUGGCAUCUUCAGCUAUACCACAGUGCCAGCCCCAAGAGAGCAACAAAUUUAAAGAGGUAAAGGAACUUGAGUCGGUUGGUUAGUUGUUCAUGCGGAGAUUGUGAUAUUGGUGGAAAGGUUGUAGAUGAGUGCUAAAUU